CACGCCGUAAACGAUGAAUGCCAGUCGUCGGUGCGCAUGCGUAUCGGUGACACACCUAACGGAUUAAGCAUUCCGCCUGGGGAGUACGGUCGCAAGAUUAAAACUCAAAGGAAUUGACGGGGGCCCGCACAAGCAGCGGAGCAUGUGGUUUAAUUCGAAGCAACGCGAAGAACCUUACCUAGACUUGACAUCCCCUGAAUUACUCGUAACGGAGGAAGCCCUUCGGGGCAGGGAGACAGGUGG
rnacentral:rRNA from 1 species